rnacentral:lncRNA from 10 species
GUAAAAAUAAAAAUAUAAAAUAAAUAAAAACUUAUUCCUGCUCUCCAGAGUCUUCUUAUCAAGUGAGGAAGACACACGUGGGCAAAUAACAAUGGAAUGAUGUGCUAACUCUCUAACAGGCUUAUGACAAAUAUCUAUAUUGAAUGUACCUAGCAAGAUGGUGGAGAAUGAGGUUUGGGAAGGGUUCUGGAAACUCUUCUCAGAAGAGUAGGCCAGGAGCUAGGACUUUUCCAGGUGUAGAAGGAGGCAUGGAAGGGUUUUCUACCCAGCAUUUUCCUCAGGAAAGGGCCAGGAAGAGAGAGUAGCUCCAAAUAGAAGCCCCUGGACCAAGAUUCCUCAGAACAUAUGACAUACGGAAGGUGACUGAAAGAGGAGCAAAGGCGCUUGCUGAAUAUUAGAUACAUGAUUGGGCAGAUGGAGCGUCUACUGUGAAAGAUAUUACAGUAAAAUAGAAUGGAAAUGAGAGUAUAUAAAAGGCAAUGGAGAAAAUAAAUCAAAUUGAGUCACAAAAGACCAUAUCAGAUGUGGUUACCAACCUUGCAUCCCCAAAUGAGAGCAAUCCAAACAUCGGAAUACCGGGAAGCACAGAAGUGGGUGCUGGUCGAAGUGCAGGACACGUCUUUCCCUGUCACCUAGAAGGGACACAGAGUCAGAACUGGAGGUGCCCACAAUUACCAGGAACACAAAGCAGAUCUUUGUGAACAUGCUGGAGCAUGAAUUCUUCUAGAGUACAUGAUACCCCCUCAGUAUGUAAAAACUGCAGCAUUUAGGUGACUCCACUAGAACCUAAAUGAGAGUGACUACGUGUUAGGAGAAGAGAUGAUAAAGUUGGGCUAACAGCUGUGUGCUUGGUGACACUAGGGCUUACCCCUCAUUUAUGUGCUUUGCUACCCCAAUCAAAUUAGUGCCUCAACAAAACUAUAAACUAUUUCAUUAUGCACCUGCUUUUUGCAAAUCAUUGAAUCCUUAAACAUUAAUCUUGCAGUGUCACGAUUCCAUGAUUCCACUGUAUUCCUCAGCCCCUCGUGAGGCUGGAGAUAUAUAAUAAUUUUUUUUUUUUUUUGGCAGGGUCUCACUCUGUCACCCAGGCUGGAGUGCAGUGGUGCAAUCUCAGCUCACUGCAACCUCUGCUUCCUGGGUUCAAGAGAUUCUCCUGCCUCAGCUUCCCAAGUAGCUGGGAUUACAGGCAUGUGCCACCACGCCUGGCUAAUUUUUGUAUUUUUGGUAGAGACAUGGUUUCAUCAUGUUGGCCAGGCUGGUCUCAAACUCCUCACCUCAAGUGAGCUACCUGCCUCAGCCUCCCAAAAUGCUGGGAUUACAGGCGUGAGCCACCGUGCCCGGCCAUACUUCUUGUUAAUUGAAUAGUAUGUACUGGACAUGGUUAAGUCUUUUACCUACAUUGUUUCAUUUAAUCUUUGCCACAACCCUAUGAGAUAGGUAGUAUUAUUAUCUCAAUUUUACCAAUUAGGAAACAGACUUAGAGAGGUUACAUAACUUUCCCAAGGUCACACAACUGGUGAGCUUGGUAGAGCUGGGAUUUGAACCAGGGUUGACUGACUCCAAAGGCCACCUUAAACUACUACCUCCACCUCUACAAUUAGGGGAAGGUAACUGCCGAUAGCUGAAAGUUUUAAUUAUUGAUAAUGUGGAAGUGGCAGAACUGCCAGGCAGAUUCCAGCAUGCUGAUAUCUCAUUGUAUGCCCACAAAGAGACACUCGGGCAGGAGGAGCAGUGGGAGUGGCAGCAGACUAGGGCAAGAAUUACAUGGAAGCCACAACUCCUGACUCUCCCUCCUCUUGGAGUCCUUUAUCUUCUUGUUGCAAGGAUGACUCCUGUGUAUCCACAGAGGUCAGUCCAGUUUGGGGAUGAGAUUCUCUAGGGAUUUGGCCCCUCACCGUCAUACUGACACUGAGAAUCUGGAGGCACUGGAUGGGAUCAGUCAGCACCCACGUCAUGAGCAGGAUCACAUCAGCCAUCAACAGGGCUGCCACCAACCCCAGCAACUGCAGGUCUUUGAUAAUCUGCAAAAGAGUCAAGGUCAAAACUUCUCCUUGUUGAC